rnacentral:rRNA from 1 species
GAUGAACGCUGGCGGCGUGCCUAAUACAUGCCAGUCGAGCGGACAGAUGAGGAGCUUGCUCCUCUGACGUUAGCGGCGGACGGGUGAGUAACACGUGGAUAACCUACCUAUAAGACUGGGAUAACUUCGGGAAACCGGAGCUAAUACCGGAUAAUAUAUUGAACCGCAUGGUUCAAUAGUGAAAGACGGUUUUGCUUUCACUUAUAGAUGGAUCCGCGCCGCAUUAGCUAGUUGGUAAGGUAACGGCUUACCAAGGCAACGAUGCGUAGCCGACCUGAGAGGGUGAUCGGCCACACUGGAACUGAGACACGGUCCAGACUCCUACGGGAGGCAGCAGUAAGGAAUCUUCCGCAAUGGGCGAAAGCCUGACGGAGCAACGCCGCGUGAGUGAUGAAGGUCUUCGGAUCGUAAAACUCUGUUAUUAGGGAAGAACAAAUGUGUAAGUAACUAUGCACGUCUUGACGGUACCUAAUCAGAAAGCCACGGCUAACUACGUG